rnacentral:piRNA from 1 species
UGGCUCUGCGUGAAGGACCGUUUUCUAGGU